AAAGUAAUCAUUAGAUCUAUUCU
rnacentral:snRNA from 1 species